rnacentral:tRNA from 1 species
ACUUAAGUAGCUUAUAAAGAGUUUAACAUUGAAGAUGUUACGGAGAUAUUUUAUCCUUAAGUA